rnacentral:piRNA from 1 species
UGACCUCACUGAUGGAGUCCAUUCUCCGGAC